GAUAUGGUUCGUGAUCCAUCGUGAACCAUCAUUGGCUGAUGGUUGGACUUGGGGAUCAUAGUGGUCUUUUCCAAUCUUAAUGAUUCUGUGAUUCUAUGAUCCAGAUUUCCAUUGGGUAUGUGGACCCCUGUCAGUUCAGCCACAGCCUCAUAUAACAUCUGUCAUCUCGCUCGUCCCCAGUGACAGAGACAGCCCUACUGAGCACGUCCUGCUGAUCUGACUCGGCAAAAGCAAGACAUCAUCUUGAAAGCCUUGGGAGAACUGCCUGGUAAAUGACAGUGUUUUGGAAUCAGAUGGAAUACUUCGAUGGAGUUUGAGGUGGUUGUCCUGUAAAGCAUCUCAGGGAAGGAAGAAGACUUGUGGCUACCUGAGAGCAAAGGGACUGAACCAGCUUGAAGGAAGCCAAGACAAUCCAGAAGGGAAAGGCUACACCCUCCUUUGGCCACGCAUGUUAAGUGCAUUUGCCACUGGUGACUGGGGGCCCAUUCUGCGAGUGCUCGGCUCUUUCUCUGCCUGCCUGGAUGGAGAGGCAGGUUCCGUGCAGCUUUAUGGUGGAGAAGAAAGAGGAAAAUGUGCUUCACUAACUGGGUAAUUAUCCCCUUCUGACGCUGAAGAUAAUUCCCUUUGAGGCUGUUGUAUGUCAUGAGUUUGGGAAACAGGCAGCUAGAGCCAUUUAUGUCCCCUGUUUCUGCGAGACACAGAGUUGUAGGAGGUGGGCCAGAUGCAGAGGAGCAGCCUCGUGUUGCCCGCAGAGAUAUCUCUCCAUCACUUUAUUUCUGGAUCCGAAACGAAUUGUUGCAAAUUGGGCCC